UAAAACAAAAAGUAUUGCUUGGGUCGUGAGCAACUGUCGAUCUCCUUCAAAGCGACAAGCUUAUGUGAAAGAAUUAUCGAAAUAUAUUGAUGUUGAUAUUUACGGAAGAUGUGGGAAACCUUGCUUAUUCGGAGGAGAACAUUGUAUAAUGCAUUUGAGUAAAAAUUACAGGUUCUAUCUUUCUUUUGAAAAUUCAUUAUGCAAGGACUAUAUGAGUGAAAAAAUCUUUAGCAUGUACAGUGAUAGUAUAGACUUUAUUCCAAUCGUUCGAGGUGCUCCUAAUGCGAAAGACUAUUUGCCACAAAAGACAUAUAUUUCAACGUCCGAUUUUCAGUCACCACAAAAACUGGCGGCAUUUCUUAAAAUUAUUAGCAGAGAUAAAAC
rnacentral:lncRNA from 1 species